UUUUAUUUCUAUUUCUAUUUUAACUCUCAUCUCUCUCCUCUAUUAUCUAUCUCUCCCGUUUCGCCUCUCAGGAGUCUGGAUCUCUCGGAACCAAACAAAAAAACCAUUUUUCUUUCUUAUGAACUUUCCAUCCCCCAUAUUCCAUUUUCUUACCAAGAUGAAUCAUGAAUUAACAGAUCUGCAUGAUUGCUUCCUCCUUCCAACAGAUCGGCUGAUUCUGAACUUGAUAAAUCAAACAACCCUCCUAUAAAUAUCUGUUUUUUCCUAAAUGAGAAACCCCAACUCUCUGUAAAUACCUAUGAAAUCCUUUACAGCCAACCAAUCUCCUUUUAUUCACCAACAACUUCCCAAACAAAAUCUUUGUUUUUUAUCAUCGCAAUCAGAAGCCCAAAAUCUCUUAAUCGAUAAUCAAAAAAUCUCUCAAUCUAUAAUCAAAAGAAUUUUUAAGAGGUUAAACAAUUGAUGAUGUGGACAGAGUAUGAUAGGGGUGUGAAUAUUUGUCAUCUGAAGGAAGAUUGUUUCAGGUUGAGUAUGGGAUUGAAGCUAUUAAGCUUGGGUCAACUGCAAUUUGGUUAAAGACUAAAGAAAGAGUAGUGCUUGCUGUUGAGAGCGUAUCACUCCGCAAUUGCUGGUUUGUUCUUUCUUUCUUAGCUUUGUUUGCAUUUAAUAAGUACCCACAAAUCUGAUUCUCUAUUUCCUUGUUCACAACCUGUUUUAGUAUGAACUAUAUAUAGUUGUUCUGUAUGGUAUUGUUUUAAAUGUGUUGUUGAGUAUCCUAAUCUAGGUUCAAGUCUAUUUCCAGCAUAUGGUCAUCUCAUUACAAUUCUUAGGUCAUAAUUCCAAUAUUUUGCACUUGCCAGACUCCUUUUUAAUUAGAUGCCUGGUUAGAAUGUGUUAGUAGUUAUCAAACCCUUUUGUUGGAGUUUCUAUGUUUGUGCCAGUUUUAGAAGGGAUUCUCUACCUAAGUGCUUAAGCAUACUACUGCUAUAAUGGAUACUGGAGAGUGUGUUCUCAUCGUGGUGGUUAGUUUACAAAGCUUAGUAAUAGUAAGCUUUGUAAAAAUUGCAAAUAUGAACUGAAAAUUGUGAAAUUGUAAGACAACCGGUUUCUAUAGCUGGAGUAUUGGAUACAGGAAACUAGAUAAAUGAUAUUGCGUAGUCCAGUGAAUGGUUCUAAUUUUUAGGUUGACACGUAAUCUGGUUUUCCUUUUUGUUACCUUCAAUAGUUCUGACAUAGAUUUGACUCCUGUCUAUUAGCCAUUGAUAUUAUCCGGUAGAUUUAACUCCGGUCUAUUGGCCAUUGGUAUUAUUAUCCACGAACAGGUAUAAAGCAUAUCCCAUGAAUCCAAUGUUUGUGGUGAUCUCUGUACUUGCUAUAUAGUCGUCUUUACAUGAGUAAAUAAAGAGAAAAGAUCAUUUUUUGAUUUAAUGAUGUUAAGAGUGUUAGUUCUUUCCGGUGAUGAUUGAUAAUUCAUUUAUUUUGUAUCAAACCAUUGAAUCUAUCACAUGCUAUUUCUUUGAUAAAAGAAGUUAAUUACUUUUGCAUUUGUCAUGUAAAAGAAGUCAUUUAUGAUGUCUACUAUCGCAGACGUGCGUCUAGCAAAUCACUAUUGUACUUGAUCCACUUUUCUUUUCAUGCUAUUUUCGCCCUGCUAAGUGAAUGUGCGCUAUUGCUGUGAGCAUGAAUAUGAUUGAUUUGUCUUCACCGACCAUCUUUAUAAGCCGUGUUCGGCUGCAUUACUGGUGUGUUCUUGUCAAACCAUUGAAUGGCUAGGUGUUGAGAGAUUAGCAAUUCCCAUUUGAUGCUAGUGAUUUGGUACGGUAUUCAUGAUGUGAUAUGAUCAUUGUUCGCAUUCUAUCAGUGAUCUAAGAAAUACACCUCCGUCUGUCCUAUACGUUAUAAAAGUGUCUUGAUUGCACCUUACAGAUUAUAUGCACAACAUGCCCAGUAGUGCUUUCUGCAAUGAUUAUUCGUUUCUAUCCGCUUGAAUUAAAGUGUGAUAUUAAUACAUUUGGGCCAUGAAAUUUGGAUACUCUUUAAUGGAAAUUUUAGAUAUGAAACUAAGGGAAGGCUUCUGUUCUUAACAUACCCACCUUUAAAAAACAAUAACAGUCUAAUUAACUUUAUCACUUUUGUGAAUAUUAGAUUUUACAUUCCAUGAAAUUUGGAUACUCUUUAAUGGAAUUUUAGGUAUGAAACUAAGGGCAGGCUUCCGUUCUUAACAUUCCCAUCGUUAAAAACAAUAACAGUCUAAUUGACUUUAUCACUUUUAUGUUAUCACUAAUAUUAGCUUUUACAUUAUCAACCAACAAGGAUACUAAAUUUACAGUCAUAUUUCAUACUAAAAGUACAGUCAUAUUUCAAACUUAGGAAUAGGUAGUGGGUAUGAAGAAACAUUGACGAGAUGUUAGAUUGCAUCUGGAUUAUCCUUUUGGAAAACAAAACUUACUUCCGAUUGUUCAUCUUAAUUAAAUUUGAUACAGAACUUGGUUUUAAAAAUCUAAGUUCUUUUCGUGGCACCUAACUAAUGCUUGCAGUGGAAUUUACUACCAGCAAUGAAGUAGGAAAACUUUGAUAUAUGUCAUAUUCUGUACCAGGUAUACUGAUUUGGAGCUUUUAAAUUAGUUGUGUAUUUUGUGUUGUGGAGUGUAAAAUUGAUAUUAUAUGGCCAUGUAUUUAACUUAGUGAGAGAAGUGUUGAAAGAGGAUGCUUCGCAAGGAGAACUGUCUUGGAUUUCCAUUCCAUUCUUGCAAUGUGACCAAAAUAAAUUGUCUAAAAUAGUUUUAUGGGUUUAAGGUUCUUCGUGAUUCUGGUUUUAUAUUGAUAUUUUGAUAUGAUGUAUGUGUUGGUGGGAAAUAGAUUUUAACGUUGCAGAAGAGUACAGACAGAAAACAUGGAAGCCUAAAUUCAACGCUGAGAAAGAAAAGCAGAAGGUUGAUGAAGCAGAAAAGGAUAUUUGAGGUCCUUUACAAGUUUGCGAACCUUCCUUUCUUGGUUGAUUAUAAGCUCAAGGUAUAUGAUAAUAUUGAGAAGGGUGAGAAACAGCUAAAUAUCACCAUUGGUAUCCUUGUUUCUGUUGCACUGGUUAUGUUGACCUAUAUAGGAUUCUUUUUGGCGGUAAGAAAGCAGUGGUAAGUUUUUAGUACUUAAAGAUAUUAUCAUUUGCCCGACUUUUUUUAUCCUAAAUUAUUCAAGUUUUAGCCAUAUAAUGUUUGUUAAUUUACUUUGAUAAGGUAUACACUACAUUAUCAUGGGAUGGUUUUUGAAUUAUCUUUAGUCGAGCUGUUAAUGUAGGUUUGAUGUAGGUCCACUGGUGCUGCUUUUCUCUAUUUUGUUGGUAUUGGUACAUGGUGGUUUGUGAGCCUGCUGGUGCUUAUUGUUUAAACACCUGUGGUGAUGUUUCUGGUAGUAAUGGGUUCAUUAGUAGGUAUUUGUUUCCUCAUGCUUUUGUCAAUCACUGCGCUAAUAGCAACUGUUUUAUCAGUAGGAAGAACAAAACUGUUGAGUUCUUUUGGUUACUCAUAUUGGGGCCUCUCUGCAAUCUUACUUGCAAUACCUGUUACCGUUCUUACAUUAAGAUUCCAUGUAUAACACAUUAUGUAUCUUGUGCUCGAGAUAUGUCAAGGUUGUGAAUUAAUGAACUAGUUACGUUUGUGCCGUUGUGUCGAUGUUUGACAGAGGCAGGUAAAGAGAUUGACAUCAUAUUGGUUAGGAUACCUGACAGAGGCAGGUAAAGAGAUUGACAUCAUAUUGGUUAGGAUACCCACCUUUAUAGAUCACUGUCCUCUCAUGUGCAUGGUAUGGUUAUUGUUGUUAUAAGCGUUUUCUUGAGUAUUGUGACCCCCCAUAUUAAUCAGCUGAUGGCUUUUGCUUUGCAGGUACACCAUUAUGAAGUAGGAAGAAUUUCUGCAUCAUCAUCGUAGUUUAUAAUUUUGCUGUUUAAUCAAUAGUUUUUUAGUUCAUCGUUUUGUAAUCGAAUCCUAGAACUACAGAUUACACUGGUUAGAAUUACAGAUUUUAAUCCUUUGUGUAAUUUGAAACCAAUGGAUCAAUAAAAGUUAAAUUGAAUGAUUAUUUGUGUGCAA